ensembl:lncRNA TEDC2-AS1 TEDC2 antisense RNA 1
GUUGGAGGGAGGGGCGGCCGGCUCGCGGUGACCUCGAUGGGAGGGGGCCUCGCCCGCGGCUCAGGGCGCCCCCGGCUCCCUGCGCCCGGCCCUUCGCCUCCGCCGAGCGCGCCAGCACAGGAAGGCGGCGGUCAGAAGCCCCAGGCCCGCACUGAGCGCGGCCAGCGACGAGCCCUGGGCCAGGUCCAGGCGGGGUCCCCGCAGCGAGAAGGUGAUGGCCGUGGCAGCCGCACCAGCCAGCACGGCCACGGCACCGAACGGCAGAAUGCAGCGAGGCCACGAGCCCCCAGCGCCGCCGGUGGCCAAGAGCAGGGCGCGCAGGGCCCCGGGGGGUUCCGGGUGCGCCAGACCCGGCCCGGGGGGCGAGGCGGGCGCCGCUGGGGGAGGCUCGAGCGCGCUCAUGCCGCCAACGCGGUGGCCGCGCUCGGUGGGUGGUGUGGACGCCCGCGCAGUCCCAGUGGCGUUCCAGGCUCGCCACGUCAGAGCCCAUUGGCUCCAGAGGCGGUGACGCCAGCCGGGAGCCCGAGGAGUCAGCUGCUACCUCUGGGUUUUGGCGGGGAAUCGGGGUGGGCGGGCGUUAGUCCGAGGAGGCGGCUUGUCUUUCCCGCCCUGGACUCCUGUGUUGGGGCCUCCUCAGGACCCCCACAAAGCUAUCUAGGCCGCCUCCCUGCUCCAGGACACCACUGUCCUCUGGGUUGGCCCCCGGGAUUGGUGGAUCAUUGAGUCAGUGCACAUCUGGCUCCCAUCAGGGCCUGGCCGGGGUAGGGGGGAUAGCACCCCUGUCCUCCUGAGGCAGACAUCCAGUAGGCAUGGGGGAUGAGCCAUGAGCCAAGUCAGCCAGUGAAAUAACGUCAGGUAGAGACCACCUGCUCUGGAAAGCCACGGGGGUGUACGGUCGCAGCGUGGUUGGGGGUUUCAAAUGAGUCAGUGGCUCCUGCAGAUAGAGGCACCUGGGCAUAAGCCUGGAGGCAGCAAUGGGGUUGCCGGGAGGGGCGAGGCUGGCUGAUCUGCACAAGGGGUGCGACCCUGGGGCUGCUGCCAGGCUGCGGUGGCAGGGGGUGGAGCUGCCCUGUCCCUGGAGGCGCCCCCUCAAUGCAACGAGGACCAUGGUUUUUGGUUUCCUGUCUUGGUCUCUGUCAUCUGGUCCCCAGCAGCCCUCAACUUGGGACUCUGGGUCCGAGCGUGUUUCUGGCCCGCUGGACUAUAAGGCCCUUUACAAGCACGACCUACCUGCGACGCUCCAUCUGGUUCUCAGAAGACCCGGCUUUCUCCAGGUGUCAUCCACCUCCUGUCCUGCUGCCCUGUCCAGGGGGGGCACCUUGGUGAAGAGGCCGGUCAUCUUCCCUGUCGCAGGUCCCUGCCCAGAGCAGCGCUUGGUGGAGCUCCGGCACUGUCCACACAGAGCACCUGGCCCCAGCUCCCAAAAUGUCUGGGAUGCCUCGGGCCCUCAGUGCAGGUUCGUUUAAAGAACACUACGAGCACUGGCCAUGGCCAACACCACGGCCUCUGUGGCCAGCAGGGUUUUUUUUUUGAGACGGAGUCUUGCUCUGUCACCCAGGCUGGAGUGCAGUGGUGUGAUCUCGGCUCACUGCAACCUCCACCUCCUGGGCUCAAGCGAUUCUCCUGCCUCAGCCUCCCAAGUAACUGGGAUGACAGAUGCGCACUACCAAGCCUGGCUAAUUUUUUGUAUUUUUAGUAGAGACGGGGUUUCACCGUGUUAGCCAGGAUGGUCUCAAUCUCCUGACUUCAUGAUCCGUCCGCCUUGGCCUCCCAAAGUGCCGGGAUUACAGGCAUAAGCCCCCGUGCCUGGCCUUUAGUUUUUAUAUUUUGAAUGGAGACAGGGUUUCAACAUGUUGGCCAGGCUGGUCAUGAACUCCUGACCUCAGGUGAUCUGCCUGCCUCAUCCUCCCAAAGUGUUGGGAUUACAGGUGUGAGCCACCACGCCCAGCCUGUGGCCAGCACUUUAGAUGCCACAUCAAGUAAUCUCUAUGCCGGCCCCUGAGGUCAUCACCACCAUCACCCAGCAUGACAGUGGGGACAAACCUGGACAACUGGGGCUGACUCCUUGAGAAUCUUGCCCAGUCCCAGGGCAAGAAACAAGUCAUGUUGCAAACACCUCUGUGGCUGCAGAGGGCCCAACCCUGACCCAUGCUCUUUCCUGCCUUCCUGGGGAAGGGAAGGAGGCUUGGAGGAGGUGAGAGUGGAGUGGCUAAAGGGUGAAGAGGUAAAAGGCCCUUCCUGGUGGAGGCUCAGUGUGAACCGGUGACCCCACACCUGCCCCAGCACCAGCGCCAGGAGGGGGAGCUGGGCAUGGGCACCAGGAGACAGUGGGAAGCAGAGCCGUGUGGCUGUGGCAGAGACAGUGGCCGGCCUGUUCUCCAAUAUGGCCUUGUGGUUUUCGUGUCCUCCGAUGAAUGCAUACAGCCUACAGCCUACAGGGGGCAGGGCUUUCAGCAAUGCUGGGCCUGCCUUGAGUGGCCUUGUCCCGUCCUUUAUACAGAAGGGAUAUCGAGACAGAGUCUCGCUCUGUCACCCAGGUUGGAGCACAGUGGUGCAAUCAUGGCUCACUGCAGGCUCAAAGUGCGAGGCUCAAGCGAUCCUCCCGCCUUAGCCUCCCAAGUAGCUGGGAUUACAGGCAGACACGCCAUGCCCGGCUCAUUUUCAAAUUUUGUGUAGAGAUGGGGUCUCACUGUUGUUCAAACUGGUCUCAAACUCCUGGCCUCAAGCAAUUCUCCCACUUCAGCCUCCCCAAGUGCUGGGAUUACAGGCGUGAGCCACCACACCCGGCCCACUUAUAAUCUUGAUAAAUACACUUGAUAUAUUCUUUUUCAGCAUGACAUGUAUCAACCAGUGAUAUAACUUGAUAAAAUCAUAAAGAAACAACAAGGGCUCACCAAGUCCUACCUUGGCAUGAUUUAAAUACAUAUGCUUUCAGCCAGGCACGGUGGCUCACACCUAUAAUCCCAGCACGUUGGGAGGGUGAGGUGGGAGGAUCACCUGAGGUCGAAAGUUUGAGACCAGCCUGGCCCACAUGGUGAAACCCCAUCUUUACUAAAAAAAAAAAAAAAAAAAAAAAAAAAAAAAUAGCCAGGCGUGGUGGCCGAAGCCUGUAGUCCCAGCUACUCGGGAGGCUGAGGCAGGAGAAUCGCCUGAACCCAGAAGCGGAGGUUGCAGUGAGCUGAGAUCACGCCACUGCACUCUAGCCUAGGCGACAGAGUGAGACUGUCUCAAAAACAUAAAUAAACACAAAUGCUUUCUAAAGUG